UUUUUCAUUAUUAUUUGUGCUACACUUUUAGAAACAUGACGCACGUGUGCGGUAAAUAUUGAACGCACAUGCGGGGUAAAUAUUAAACGCGGUUUCUUAUUUCUGACGGUUGCGGUGAGUUGCAGCUUGCGGAUCGAUAUUGUCGCGUGUACGGGCGGUGUCAUGGUGGAAGAAGCACCGCUUUCUGAAAGCGUUUCGACGGCGUGUGAAAACUCGUGGCAACGUGGCGACGGAGAGGGAAGGGUAAAAACCGUGGUAAAUGUGGGAACGGUUGUUGAGGUGGAAAGAAAGUAGUAUGGUGAAGUAUCCAGCAGUGGCAAGGAAUGUAAGGGAGAGUUUGUUGUUGGAGCUGGGAGGGGCGAGCAUAAGAGACGAAGGGAUAAGAAACUUCUCGGAUGCGAUCAUACCAGCAUUAAAGCAUCGGAUCCCAUCAGAACUCCGUAGUUAAGUGUGCUUGGGCGAGAGUAGUAUUAGGGUGGGUCACUCCUUGGAAGUCCUCGUGUUGCAUUCCC
rnacentral:rRNA from 1 species